AGUGAACGCUGGCGGUAGGCCUAACACAUGCAAGUCGAACGGCAGCACAGGAGAGCUUGCUCUCUGGGUGGCGAGUGGCGGACGGGUGAGGAAUACAUCGGAAUCUACCUUUUCGUGGGGGAUAACGUAGGGAAACUUACGCUAAUACCGCAUACGACCUACGGGUGAAAGUGGGGGACCGCAAGGCCUCACGCGAUUAGAUGAGCCGAUGUCCGAUUAGCUAGUUGGCGGGGUAAUGGCCCACCAAGGCGACGAUCGGUAGCUGGUCUGAGAGGAUGAUCAGCCACACUGGAACUGAGCCACGGUCCAGACUCCUACGGGAGGCAGCAGUGGGGAAUAUUGGACAAUGGGCGCAAGCCUGAUCCAGCCAUACCGCGUGGGUGAAGAAGGCCUUCGGGUUGUAAAGCCCUUUUGUUGGGAAAGAAAUCCUGUCGAUUGAUACUCGGUGGGGAUGACGGUACCCAAAGAAUAAGCACCGGCUAACUUCGUGCCAGCCGCCGCGGUAACAC
rnacentral:rRNA from 1 species